UCACAAGUAUAGGAUAUGAAACUCGACCAAUCAUGUCACAAGUAUAGGAUAUGAAACUCGACCAAUCAUGUCACAAGUAUAGGAUAUGAAACUCGACCAAUCAUGUCACAAGUAUAGGAUAUGAGUAAAGUAUAAUCAUCCGUCGGCAACUAACCGACAAUCCCACCCCUCAGGGUAUACCGACCUCAACGGUCAUCAGACAACAAAGGUCGAGGAACUCACCGAAUAGGUCACAAAUACUGAAUACUAGAAUCGACCGACUAGAUCGCUAAUCUCACAGAUAAUCACAGAAUCGCUCUACUAUAAAUAUGAAACAGGGUAUGCAGAAUAGCUAAGUAGAGCAACAAGGAAACAUGGUAUCACAUACAGAUAGACUAUACUCCUACACAUGAUACUAAGCAUGGAAACAUCUGAGUAGAGUAUAAUCAAACAACGUGGGUGUAAUGUAAACAAUAGAGGUGCAAAGCUCAACAUAUAAUAUAAGCAUGGAUAAUAACAAAAGAGCAAGGGUAAGAAACCAUCACCGAGCGUGCACCACUGUACCGACGUCGGAUCGAAGUACCCACCUGUACAACUGUCGCGCCUGUCUCCUGACUGCAAAAGAACGUCAACCGGACCUAAGGAGGGUCCACUGGGUUAGUGUCUAACCCACAACUAAGAAACCCUAAAAGUAUAACCCCAUAAAUAAACCCACAAGAAUCGGUUUCCCAAACCGAUCGUCGUAAUACGCCGGAAAUCCCGUAAUCGCACCGAGACUCUGCCGGGACCCACGGACUAUCCCGGAAGGCACCGACUCGUACCACGAGUCACCCGCUGCCCCUAAAUACAAAUUUACGUGUGACUUGGCAGCAGAGACCUUAACUCACUCCAAAACGAUUAUCGUCGGAUAAUCGUUCCGAUCCGGGUUCCCGGAAGUGUCUAUUUCGACACCGGAACCCACCGUCGCUCAUCCGUCAUUUCUGAACUCUCGAAAUGAUGUGAGUGACCAGCC
rnacentral:lncRNA from 1 species